AUGACAGGUGGUGCAUGGUCGUCGUCAGCUCGUGUCGUGAGAUGUUGGGUUAAGUCCCGCAACGAGCGCAACCCUUGUUACUAGUUGCCAGCAUUAAGUUGGGCACUCUAGUGAGACUGCCGGUGACAAACCGGAGGAAGGUGGGGACGACGUCAGCAUCAUCAUGCCCCUUAUGACCUGGGCUACACACGUGCUACAAUGGACGGUACAACGAGUCGCGAACUCGCGAGGGCAAGCAAACUCUCUUAAAACCGUUCUCAGUUCGGACUGCAGGCUGCAACUCGCCUGCACGAAGUCGGAAUCGCUAGUAAUCGCGGAUCAGCAUGCCGCGGUGAAUACGUUCCCGGGUCUUGUACACAC
rnacentral:rRNA from 2 species